rnacentral:rRNA from 1 species
GAACCUGCCUCAUACUCGGGAAUAGCCUUGCGAAAGUAAGAUUAAUACCCGGUGUUUUCAGAGUCCCGCAUGAGGCUUUGAACAAAGAUUUAUCGGUAUGAGAUGGCGAUGCGUCCCAUUAGCUUGUUGGCGGGGUAACGGCCCACCAAGGCAUCGAUGGGUAGGGGUUCUGAGAGGAAGGUCCCCCACAUUGGAACUGAGACACGGUCCAAACUCCUACGGGAGGCAGCAGUGAGGAAUAUUGGUCAAUGGGCGGAAGCCUGAACCAGCCAAGUAGCGUGCAGGAAGACGGCCCUCCGGGUUGUAAACUGCUUUUAGUUGGGAAUAAAACGGGGCUCGUGAGCCCCCUCGCAUGUACCAUCAGAAAAAGGACCGGCUAAUUCCGUGCCAGCAGCCGCGGUAAUACGGAAGGUCCGGGCGUUAUCCGGAUUUAUUGGGUUUAAAGGGAGCGCAGGCGGAUCUUUAAGUCAGCUGUGAAAUACGGCGGCUCAACCGUCGAACUGCAGUUGAUACUGGAGGUCUUGAGUGCACACAGGGAUGCUGGAAUUCAUGGUGUAGCGGUGAAAUGCUCAGAUAUCACGAAGAACUCCGAUUG